GAUUAACGCUGGCGGCGUGCAUAACACAUGCCAGUCGAACGAUGAAACUUUAAUGAACCCUUCGGGGAGAAUUAAAGCGGAUUAGUGGCGAACGGGUGAGUAACGCGUGAGUAACCUGCCUUACACAAGGGGAUAGCCUUUGGAAACGAAGAAUAAUACCCUAUAAAACCAUGCAAGCACAUGCAAUUAUGGUCAAAGUGAUAGCGGUGUAAGAUGGACUUGCGUCUGAUUAGCUAGUUGGUGAGAUAAAAGCCCACCAAGGCAACGAUCAGUAGCCGGUUGGAGAGAGUGUACGGCAAAAUUGGGACUGAGCCACGGCCAAGACCCCUAGGGGAGGCAGCAGGGGGGAAUUUUGAACAAUGGGGGAAACCCUGAUGAAGCGACGCCGCGUGAUUUAGAAGGCCUUAGGGUUGUAAAAAUCUUUUGGAUAGGAAGAAAAUGACAGUACUAUACGAAGAAGGCCCGGCUAAUUACGUG
rnacentral:rRNA from 1 species